GACGAACGCUGGCGGCGUGCUUAACACAUGCAAGUCGAACGGUAAGGCCCUUCGGGUACGACGAGUGGCGAACGGGUGAGUAACACGUGGGUGAUCUGCCCUGCACUUCGGGAUAAGCUUGGGAAACUGGGUUUAAUACCGGAUAGGACCACGGUCUGCAUGGAUUGUGGUGGAAAGCUUUUGCGGUGUGGGAUGGGCCCGCGGCCUAUCAGCUUGUUGGUGGGGUGAUGGCCUACCAAGGCGACGACGGGUAGCCGGCCUGAGAGGGUGUCCGGCCACACUGGGACUGAGAUACGGCCCAGACUCCUACGGGAGGCAGCAGUGGGGAAUAUUGCACAAUGGGCGCAAGCCUGAUGCAGCGACG
rnacentral:rRNA from 1 species